GUCAGAGGCAAACUGGAUCAACUGAGAAGAUGCUUUGAAGUACAAUUUGCAGCUGGAAGAGAUCUUACACCUGAGCAGCUAAACAACAUGAUAGAGAUCUUAUCUGACUGGUUGGGAACAUCAGAUAGCCUGUUGCAUCAAAUUCAGGAGAAAAUCAAGUGGGCUAACACAAUGAGUGAUGUGAUAAAU